AGUCACUUUGUUAGGAGUAUUCUGUGGCUAGAGAUCCUUGCUGCUACUGGGGCAGCAGAGAGAGAAGAUGGGCUCAGCUGUGACACUGUGGGACCCCUUAACCUGACUUCUUUUUUCCCAUCACACAGCUAUACUUCUCUUUGCUUUGAAACCAUUAAUCUAUUGAAGAGAAAUUCUACACAGCCAGGAUUUCAGGUCUAUGUUAACCGGAAGACCUUGUGCCAUCUUUUGUACCUGGGCUGGGCACUGCAACAGCACCUGAUGCUCAUCAGUACUAUGACAGCUAUGCCAGCUGGUGGGCUGAGAGCAGGAGCGGGCAAGGAAGACUGUAUACAAAAGCUCAAUGAAAAAAACUGCUACAUCCUUUGGUUUAUGGCAGUGAACAAUUUUUUAUCAACCUGUCCCUUUUCCCCCUGUGGAUAACCUGAGAAAUCUCUGCUAAAUUACCUCUAUGACCUAUACAAUGAACUACAACUCUCUAGAGAUUCCCCUCCUUCAUCUGUAAGUGUUAUAGGUAGUACUGCUUCCCUUUAGUUAACAUUGCCUGCGAAGCAUCUUGUUCCCAGAGACCCAUUGCCUCUGAAUUCAAAGUACAUUUGGAUUCACAAUGGAAACAUUGAGUCUUAUUGAAGGUUUCCUUUAGCUGUAUCCAGAAGCUUCCAAUUCCUCAACGACACAAGGAGAUUCCAUCUGAAUAAGAGGACUCCUUUUUCCUUGCUCAACCCUAUGUUUAGGAGUUCCUGAAGUGCAGAAGGUAGAACCGCAUUUCUAUUUUCAUUUGUGUGUGUAAUCCCUGCAGUGAUAAAGGAUUUAUCACAUUUAAACUCUCAGCAGUAACAAUUUCAUUAACUUUGAGAUUUCUGUCACUGAAAAAGAAUGGAUUGACAUGCUAGAAGCCAAAAAUAUCAACCACGUGUUCAGUGCAUAUCCCAUUAUGUUUUAUUUUGUGUCAGUACUCUUUGUAAACAUUAAUAGGCAAUAAUCAAUGGGAGUAUCCAGUGGCAACCACUUUAUAUAGUGGAUUCCAGUUGGAAGUUUUGAAUAACCUAAGAAAUUCAUUGUUUCUGGGUACUGUCAGGGAUCUGAAGGCUCCAAAACAUUUUGUAAGUUACCUGAGAGUAAACAUUAUACAAGAAGCAUUUUUAAAUAGAGUAUAAAGAUGACCCAAACUUCACAGCAUGGGGCAAACACUAUCAGGGGUUGGCAAAAAAAUAGGGGUACCUUUGUGCCCAAGUGUUUCUUCUCACAUUUUACAGUGGCUUCAGAACUAUCUGUCUUGUUGUGUAUGGGAUACAGACCUGAGGAUCUCUAACCUGACCUAUUUCUAUUUUCUAGUUUAUAGCCAGCUAAAUCAGUGUUAUUUGUUGAUCUCCUGAUUGUCUAGUGAUAAAACAUUUCCUCCUUAAAAUCAGCCCAUUUUAGUAGCACAUCUUAAUUUGGUGGAAAAGGGCAAACAUCUUUGUCAUGUUUCCACCAAAAGACAGCUCGCCCAUCCCUUACAAAGAAAGACUUGUUCUCCUGUUUCCAGAGAAAGAGAUCACAGCUCUAUGGCACAGCAAUAUCUGCAGCCCUCUGCAGGCAUGACUCUCACAUGUAGUUUUCUGAACAGUAAUUUUUAAGGAGCCUGAGGGGAAAAAAGGGAAAAAUAGAAGCGAUGCUAAAGGCCUUAACUUUCCAGAAAGAUAGAGCUUGAUUUAUUUUCUUAUGCCAACAGAAGACAAACAUAGUUACCUUGACUCCUAUAUUUAUUAGACUUUGACUACCAUUCCUUACAGCUCAAAGAGUGCAGAUCUUAAGAACCCACAAUGGUAGGAAAGAAAAACAGCAUUCCUAUAUAGAAAAAUGCUGUAACAAUGUUCAAGUGUCCCAAUUUUUCUACUGUAACUUGAUACUGGUAAA